CGAGGGAGGUGAUGUGCAGCGAGUGUAGUCGCCGCGCCGCCCCGUGCCAAGACAAGGUGAUCCGUGGUGGUGUUGGAUCUCGACUAUUCCGCAGCAGAUCGAGGGGAGUCUCCCAUCUCCGGCAAUGCUGCACGCAAAGGCGCCGGACCUGGGCGAUUUCAGUAACUUCAUCUCACAGCUGCGGCGAGGAGCCUGGAGCAGACACGCGGCCACUAACGCACAGUAGAGGCUUCUCUCUGCACCACACCAGUAGGAAGGGACAGCGACAGGCUGAAGCGCGGAGUCAAAAUGCAGUGGCGACGUUGAGCAGAGGUGCUGCACCACUCAUCGGUAAGGGGCACACAGGGUAGCGGGAGGUGAAGCUCCGCUGACACAUUGAGAAAGAGGCGAUUCGAAGCAAGGACAUGCUUUAAUUCUGUGCAAGGGCUACUCGAGAUCUCCAAAAUGAGUCAGAUCUUUGCAAUGUAUGAGUGGGGCAACUUGAAAGGACCAAAUGACCAGCAAUUUUAGAUCAUGCUACAAAUUGUAGUAUAUUGAAAAAGCUAACAACAUGUGUACAUAGCGUAUGAUGAUGCUCUAGUUAUUUCCCCCUAAAUUUGCAUCACAUCAAUUGAAUUGUAAGCACCAUUUUAUGA